GACAGAGGAUGCAAGCGUUAUCCGGAAUGAUUGGGCGUAAAGCGUCUGUAGGUGGCUUUUUAAGUCCGCCGUCAAAUCCCAGGGCUCAACCCCGUGACAGGCGGUGGAAACUACCAAGCUGGAGUACGGGUAGGGGCAGAGGGGAAUUUCCGGUGGAGCGGUGAAAUGCGUAGAGAUCGGAAAGAACACCAACGGCGAAAGCACUCUGCUGGGCCGACACUGACACUGAGAGACGAAAGCUAGGGGAGCGAAUGGG
rnacentral:rRNA from 1 species